rnacentral:rRNA from 1 species
AAUAUUGGACAAUGGGCGAAAGCCUGAUCCAGCCAUGCCGCGUGUGUGAAGAAGUAUUUCGGUAUGUAAAGCUCUAUCAGCAGGGAAGAAAAUGACGGUACCUGACUAAGAAGCCCCGGCUAACUACGUGCCAGCAGCCGCGGUAAUACGUAGGGGGCAAGCGUUAUCCGGAUUUACUGGGUGUAAAGGGAGCGUAGGUGGCAAAUCAAGUCAGAUGUGAAAGCCCGGGGCUCAACCCCGGGAUUGCAUUUGAAACUGGUAUGCUAGAGUGCAGGAGAGGUAAGUGGAAUUCCUAGUGUAGCGGUGAAAUGCGUAGAUAUUAGGAGGAACACCAGUGGCGAAGGCGGCUUACUGGACUGUAACUGACACUGAGGCUCGAAAGCGUGGGGAGCAAAC